UACGUAGGGUGCAAGCGUUGUCCGGAAUUAUUGGGCGUAAAGAGCUCGUAGGCGGUUCGGUAAGUCGGGUGUGAAAACUCUGGGCUCAACCCAGAGCCGCCACCCGAUACUGCUGUGACUUGAGUUCGGUAGGGGAGCGGGGAAUUCCUGGUGUAGCGGUGAAAUGCGCAGAUAUCAGGAGGAACACCAGUGGCGAAGGCGCCGCUCUGGGCCGACACUGACGCUGAGGAGCGAAAGCGUGGGUAGCAAACAGG
rnacentral:rRNA from 1 species